rnacentral:rRNA from 1 species
CUCAGGAUGAACGCUGGCGGUCUGCUUAACACAUGCAAGUCGAACGCAACCUUCGGGUUGAGUGGCGGACGGGUGAGUAACGCGUGAGAAUCUGCCUUGGGGUCGGGGACAACCACUGGAAACGGUGGCUAAUACCGGAUAAGCCUUUGGGUAAAAGAUUUAUUGCCCCAAGAGGAGCUCGCGUCUGAUUAGCUAGUUGGUGAGGUAAAAGCUCACCAAGGCAGCGAUCAGUAGCUGGUCUGAGAGGACGAUCAGCCACACUGGGACUGAGACACGGCCCAGACUCCUACGGGAGGCAGCAGUGGGGAAUUUUCCGCAAUGGGCGAAAGCCUGACGGAGCAAGACCGCGUGAGGGAGGAAGGCUCUUGGGUUGUAAACCUCUUUUCUCAGGGAAGAAGCUCUGACGGUACCUGAGGAAUCAGCCUCGGCUAACUCCGUGCCAGCAGCCGCGGUAAUACGGAGGAGGCAAGCGUUAUCCGGAAUUAUUGGGCGUAAAGCGUCCGCAGGUGGCGAUUCAAGUCUGCUGUCAAAGCACGGGGCUUAACUCCGUUAAGGCAGUGGAAACUGAAUAGCUAGAGUGCCGUAGGGGUAGAGGGAAUUCCCGGUGUAGCGGUGAAAUGCGUAGAGAUCGGGAAGAACAUCGGUGGCGAAAGCGCUCUACUGGACGGCAACUGACACUCAGGGACGAAAGCUAGGGGAGCGAAUGGGAUUAGAUACCCCAGUAGUCCUAGCUGUAAACGAUGGAUACUAGGUGUAGCUUGUAUCGACCCGAGCUGUGCCGAAGCUAACGCGUUAAGUAUCCCGNCUGGGGAGUACGCACGCAAGUGU